CCUACGGGUGGCAGCAGUGAGGAAUAUUGGUCAAUGGUCGGGAGACUGAACCAGCCAAGCCGCGUGAGGGAUGAAGGUACAGAGGGUCGUAAACCUCUUUUGUCAGGGAACAAAAGCGGGGACGUGUCCCCGGAUGAGUGUACCUGAAGAAAAAGCAUCGGCUAACUCCGUGCCAGCAGCCGCGGUAAUACGGAGGAUGCGAGCGUUCUCCGGAUUUCUUGGGGUUAAAGGGUGCGUAGGCGGUCUAUUAAGUCAGCGGGCAAAUCGCGGGGCUCAACCCCGGCCAGCCGUUGAAACUGGCAGUCUCGAGGUGGCGAGAAGUAUGCGGAAUGCGCGGUGUAGCGGUGAAAUGCAUAGAUAUCGCGCAGAACUCCGAUUGCGAAGGCAGCAUGCCGGCUCCACACUGACGCUGAGGCACGAAAGCGUGGGUAUCGAACAGGAUUAGAUACCCCUGUAGUC
rnacentral:rRNA from 1 species